AUUGAACGCUGGCGGCAUGCCUUACACAUGCAAGUCGAACGGCAGCGCGGGAGCAAUCCUGGCGGCGAGUGGCGAACGGGUGAGUAAUAUAUCGGAACGUGCCCAGUAGCGGGGGAUAACGCAGCGAAAGCUGUGCUAAUACCGCAUACGCACUAUGGUGGAAAGAAGGGGAUCGCAAGACCUUUCACUAUUGGAGCGGCCGAUAUCAGAUUAGCUUGUUGGCGGGGUAAAAGCCCACCAAGGCGACGAUCUGUAGCUGGUUUGAGAGAACGACCAGCCACACUGGGACUGAGACACGGCCCAGACUCCUACGGGAGGCAGCAGUGGGGAAUUUUGGACAAUGGGCGCAAGCCUGAUCCAGCCAUGCCGCGUGCGGGAAGAAGGCCUUCGGGUUGUAAACCGCUUUUGUUCGGGAAGAAAUCGACCGGGUUAAUACCUCGGUUGGAUGACGGUACCGGAAGAAUAAGCACCGGCUAACUACGUGCCAGCAGCCGCGGUAAUACGUAGGGUGCGAGCGUUAAUCGGAAUUACUGGGCGUAAAGCGUGCGCAGGCGGUUUCGCAAGUCANAUGUGAAAGCCCCGGGCUCAACCUGGGAACUGCAUUUGAAACUAC
rnacentral:rRNA from 1 species